UGUGCUUGCCCGAUCUACUCUCUCUUUUAAAAUGAAGAGAAAAAGACUCUCUCUCUUUCUCUCUCUCCAUUGCAGAAUCAAGGAAUAACAACUAGUCAAAAACAGUAAACCUAACCCUAGAAAUCUCUCUCUACACACACACACACACACUCUCUCUCUCUCUCUCUCUCUCAACCCUAAUUCUUUCAAAAUCAGGGUUACUGAAGACUAGGGUUUUUGGAUGUGAGAUUGUUCGGAUCCGUCAUGGCCGAUCUUCCCAGCGUCACAGCGGCAGCAACGAGGGCUUCUCCCUGGCAGUGCUGAACAAUGGUAGUACGGAUGCGCCGAAGCUGACGGUGUUAGGUCGUUCAAGGGGUCAAAGAGGCAGACAUCGGUCCGGUUGAGCCUCAACGCGGAUGAGUUCAUAAAUCUGCUACACAGGUCGGAUUCAGUCAAGGUGGAGUUGAAUCAAUUGGAGAAUGAAGUCAGAGAUAAGGAUCGGGAGUUGGGGGAAGCGCAGGCGAAGAUCAAGGCAUUGAGGUUAUCAGAACGUUUGAGAGAGAAGGCGGUCGAAGAGGUUUGCCAUCUCGUGCACAAUAUGAAAGGCGGAUUUUGAUGCAGCAACAGUUAAAAUAGUCAUGGCUGGAGCUGGGUGUGAAAAUGGUAGUAAAGUGGAACAACUCUCAUCCUUGGAGAUGGACUCUAUAACUUCAUCAAAGUACUGUCUUUCACCAUCAGAAGCUUCCAUGGUAGAUUGAAAUGGAAGGACCCUCAGAACAGCUAUGACAGAUCUUAGUGCCAACGCUGGGCAGGCUGGCCAACACAACCGUUAGUAAAUCCUGCAUUGAAGCGGCGGCUGGCACAACCGUCAGUAAAUCCUACAAAAGGAGAAGGUUGCUUCAAAUCAUUAUGGUUAUUCUGUUAUUGUAUUUGGUGAACUCAUGGAAUUCCAUGGAACUGAUUGAAUGGAAGGAGCUUCUGUUGUCCAUACAAGUCAUGUUUCUGAUUUUUUGGAUGAAUUGGGUGUGUGAAACUGCAUGGAACUGAUCAAAUGAACAUGGAAUUUCUAUUGGGAAGAAACACUGACUCCUCAGAAGGCCGUAGACAGUACGGUCAUUGGAUUCUCCGUAAGUUGUAAGAGUUCAUGUCAUACCUUUUAGUAAAUUUGUUUUUUUUUUUUUUUGGAUUCUCCAUAGACAUUAAGUUUUCUUCUUGUUGUUGGUUUUUUUUGGAUUCUCCAUAUGAAAUUAUGAGAAAUCAUGCCUAAAACAUUUAAAAGCAUUUGUUGGAGCCCACCUAAGUUUUGAAAUAGCCUAAAAUCUGUUGUGACCCCUUAUCCAAGUGACCUCUUAUCUAAGUCACAAUGAAUGGCCUAGAUGUUUAAACCACAUCUCGUUGGGUCCGCUGUACAAAAAAAAAAAGGUUUCAAUGGAUGUGCAUCCACUCUUAACCAUUAUUUAUGUUGUUGCUCACCUAAGUUGUGGAUUGGCCUCAUUUUUAAGCCCAUGGCUCACCAUGAAAGGGUAUAUCUAAUUCAUGGGAUAGAUGUCUUCAAAUUUUGAGGAUGUGUUGCAAGAAGAAAACCUUUACUUUAUUACUGAGGUAAGUUGCUGAUUUUUUAUUUUUAUUUUUCUGUUGAUGAAGUAUAUUAAACAGCAUGAUUUAGGUCUUCAUCAAGUUGCUGAUACAGUUUCAUUUGUUGCCAGGCUAUUAUCAUUUUGCAGAAAUAUUUUAGGCCAAUGAAAUUUUAAUAUGACUGAAAUGGACGGACAGCUGAAGGAAGCUGGUUGUCUUCAUUUUCAUUUUCUAAAAUUUUGUUUGUCUUUUGCUUUUUGAACAUGCAUAGAAUCCUAUAAGGAAUUGGGAAAAUACAGACUAAUCUUAGACUUCUUAGUGACAUUCUAUUUGGUUGUAAACAGGGGCACCUUCUGUGAUUUGAAGCUUCAUCUCAUCAUCAAUAAUGCCAGGUGACACUGGCACACUUCCUCUUCUCUGCCAUUAUUAUAUUAUGUCAAGCUUACCAAAGAUCGACAGAAGAAACCAGUCCCUUGGAAACAAUGGCAAUCAUUGGCAACAAGGAGAUCAUUAACAUUAACCAAGGUAUGUUAGCUGUUUAGACUGGUAAAAAAAAAAAACUAGGAUACAUGUGGG